CAUAUCCUAGCUGGUGCGUAUAGACUGCCAUGGUUUUGAUCCUAUUUGUGACUAGGGAGUUAAAUGCCAGAUUACUACAACAAGCCCUUUCGGUUAAGGGAAGUUGGAACCUUUGGACUAAACGCCCACCUGCGAGAGCAGGGUCAGAAACCUGGAGUCUUACGGCAAGUUGGGGAAGGG
rnacentral:other from 1 species